rnacentral:misc_RNA from 1 species
GAUGAAGAACGCAGCGAAAUGCGAUACGUAAUGUGAAUUGCAGAAUUCAGUGAAUCAUCGAAUCUUUGAACGCACAUUGCGCCUGCCAGCACUCUGGCAGGCAUGCCUGUUCGAGCGUCAUUUCAACCAUCAAGCCCUAGGCUUGCGUUGGAGCCCUGCGGCUGCCGCAGGCCCCUAAAAGCAGUGGCGGGCUCGCUAUCACACCGAGUGCAGUAGAUUACUCUUCGCUCAGGGCGUGUGGCGGGUUCCAGCCGUGAAACGCCCUACUUCUCAAGGUUGACCUCGGAUCAGGUAGGAAUACCCGCUGAACUUAAGCAUAUCAAUAAGCGGAGGA